UUGGAUGUGACGACAAACUUCCUUCCUUGAGUGUCCGUGAUGCUUGAAGUAUUCAUACUGUCUGAUCCUG